rnacentral:rRNA from 1 species
AGCGAACGCUGGCGGCAGGCCUAACACAUGCAAGUCGAACGAACUCUUCGGAGUUAGUGGCGGACGGGUGAGUAACACGUGGGAACGUGCCUUUUGGUUCGGAAUAACUCAGGGAAACUUGUGCUAAUACCGAAUGUGCCCUUCGGGGGAAAGAUUUAUCGCCAUUAGAGCGGCCCGCGUCUGAUUAGCUAGUUGGUGAGGUAACGGCUCACCAAGGCGACGAUCAGUAGCUGGUCUGAGAGGAUGACCAGCCACACUGGGACUGAGACACGGCCCAGAAUCCUACGGGAGGCAGGAGUGGGGAAUCUUGCGGAAUGGGCGAAAGCCUGACGCAGCCAUGCCGCGUGAAUGAUGAAGGUCUUAGGAUUGUAAAAUUCUUUCACCGGGGACGAUAAUGACGGUACCCGGAGAAGAAGCCCCGGCUAACUUCGUG